rnacentral:rRNA from 1 species
UACGGAGGGUGCAAGCGUUAUCCGGAUUUAUUGGGUUUAAAGGGUGCGUAGGCUGUUUGGUAAGUCAGCGGUGAAACUUACAGGCUCAACCUGUACCGUGCCGUUGAUACUGCCGAGCUUGAAUACGAAUGAAGCUGGGGGAAUGUGUAGUGUAGCGGUGAAAUGCAUAGAUAUUACACAGAAGACCGAUUGCGAAGGCACCUGGCUAAUUCGUCAUUGACGCUGAUGCACGAAAGCGUGGGGAUCAAAC